rnacentral:rRNA from 1 species
UGCAGUCGACGGGCUCUUCGGAGCAGUGGCGGACGGGUGAGUAACGCGUGAGAAUGUGCCUUGAGGAUGGGGAUAACAAUAGGAAACUAAUGCUAAGACCCAGUGUGCCUUAAGUGGUGAAAAAUGAAAAUUGCCUGAAGAGGAGCUCGCGUCUGAUUAGCUAGUUGGGGUGGUAAAAGCGCACCAAGGCGACGAUCAGUAGCUGGUCUGAGAGGAUGAGCAGCCACACUGGGACUGAGACACGGCCCAGACUCCUACGGGAGGCAGCAGUGGGGAAUUUUCCGCAAUGGGCGAAAGCCUGACGGAGCAAUACCGCGUGAGGGAGGAAGGCUCUUGGGUUGUAAACCUCAAAACUUAGGGAAGAAAAAAUGACGGUACCUAAUAUAAGCAUCGGCUAACUCCGUGCCAGCAGCCGCGGUAAUACG